rnacentral:lncRNA from 1 species
CCGUCAAUUAUUUUCCCUUCUCUGGGUCCCUUCAUUUAUUUUCCACAUCUUACCCGUCAGAUCCUGUUCUACUGUUUCCCUGCCAACAUACUUUUACCCAAUCCCAUUUCGUCCGCGUUCAUCUCACGCCCCUGUCACCUAUUCAGGUAGCAUUACUUCGGUAAUUAAGUGUUCAAUGAAGUUCAAUUUUAAAUUUUAAUAUUCUUUUUUAUUUAUCUGAUAAUAAAUUUAUUUUACUAAUACUGAGAUCACAUUUAAAAUUAUAAAAAUUUAAAUUUAUUUGCAAACCAUAUUUUUAAAAAAUUAACCGUUUAAAGCCUUUGUCCAAUAAAACUGUAACUAAAACUAAUUAUGCAUUAUUUUCUAAAUUUAUUUAAAAUUAAUUAUCAUUUUUGGAAAAUUAACGAGUAUUUUUUUUAAAUUUACCCUUAUUUUAAUUAAAUAUGUUAUUAUUUUUAUAAUUUCUUGAGAAUAUAUUUAGAUUUAUUUAUGUAAUUUAAUGAAAUUAAAAAUUAUUUUAAUAUAUAUAAAUAAUUUAAUUAUUUUUUUAAUCACAUUCAGAAAUUUUAAAUAACAUAUUAAAGUGAAGUAAAAAAUAAAUUAUUUAGUACACAGAUUCAAUUUGGUAGGUCCACUUGUCGUGCUUCCAUUUAAUUCUCAUCCUUCAUAUGCACGUAUCACGUAUUUAAACUCAACAUGCCACCAUGUCGGCAAUUUGUUUAUGGGAUAAUUACUUAAUUUUAUAUAUUCAUAAAAAAUAAUUUAUAUUUAAAAAAUAUUUUGUAACGACAUAAUUUAUUUAUUAUUAUUUAAUCUUAAUUUAAAAAUAAAUUUAUAUAUAAAAAUAUUAAAGUAUAAACAAGGAAAAAAUAAAAUUAUAUUUUUUUAUUAUAAAGUAAAUAUUUUUUAAAAAUAAAUGGAGCCUUGAUUUUAUAAUUUAUAAUUUAUUUUUAAUUCAAAAUUUCUCACCAUUAAUAUAUUAUGUGUAAGUUAAAUUCUUAAAAUUAAGAGAAUAAUUAUAUUAAAUAUAUUAGUAAUAAAAUAUUGAAAAUUAAUUUGAAAUAAUAUUUAAUAUAUAUAUUUAAUUUUAAAAAAUUAAUUUAAAAUAAUAUUGAAUAUUGAUCGUCUCUAGUUCGGUUCUAAUCCUGAAAGGAGAAAUUAAAUCAAAUCUGUUCUAACUCUCAGUAAAAAAGAAAAAUUAAAUCAGACCCAUAAAUUCAUACUUACCUCAUAUCUCCCUCAAAUCAUUAAUUUUAUUUAUAAUAAUAUAAUUAAAAAAUAACAUUAAUAUUUUAUAGUUAUUUUUAUUUGACUUUAUAUUUGUGUAUUUACAUAAUAUAUUAAUUAAAUAAAUCAAUAUUUAAAUAUAAAAUCAAAAUAAAAUCAUUUAAUAAUUUUAAAAAAGAAGUUUGAAGUCCCACCGCAUUUUAUAGUAGUGAAAUCACAGGUGGCACUUUAUUUAGAUAAUUGGUCUUAUAAUUUUAUAUAAAUACCACACGUAUGAUGAAAUAGUUGUAUUUAAUUAAAAUAAGGGUACAUGAUUUUACUAAUUUUCACUUUUUAAUUAAUAAUUUAAUUUAUAUUAAGUUAAUAUCUUAUAAUAAUAUAUUAUUAAUAAAUAACAAUAAUUUUUUAAUAUUUUAAAUAAAUAUUAAUAUUAUAAUUAAAAUAUAAUAUUAAUUAAAAAAAUAUAAUAUAAUUUCAAUUAUUUUUAUUUUAAAAUUUAUAAUUUAAUUUAUUUUAAAUUAAUAUUAAUAAUAUAAUUUUUAUAUUAAUAUUUUAAAUAAUAUUUAAAUAUUACCGCUAUUAAUAAUGUUAUAAUAUAAAUAUUAUUUUAAUAUAAAUUAAACUACAAAUUCUAAAAUAAAUAAUUAAUAAAAUCACAAACUAUUUUUUAUUUUAAAAUAAAUUUAUUAUUUAAUAUAUAUAUAAAUUUAUUAAUUAUUUUUUAUUUUAAAAAAAUAUAUUAAAAUAUUUAUAACUUUUGCUAAUUAAUUUAAAUUUUAAAUUUUUAUACUGUUAAAAUUAAUUAAUAAACUAUUUUUUUAAAACAUUAAAAAAAUUUUAAUGUACUUUUAAAAUUAAAAAAUUAAUUAAUAAGUUAUAAGAAAUUAAAUUAUAAUUUUUUUAAAAAAAUACUUUAAUUAAGUUAAAAUAAAUAAAAAAAUUACUAUUUAAUCUAUAAAAAUUUAUUAGUUAAUAUUUUAAUUUUAAAUAUUUAUUUUAGCCACUAAAUAUUAAAAAUAUAUAUUUUUAAUAUGAAAUGAUUAAUUAAUAAAUUUUUUAUAAAAUUAAGAGAUGAAUUAAUAAUUUUUUAAAUUAUUAAAAUUUAAUAAUAAAAAAUUUAAGAAUCAAAAUUAAUAAAGAAUUUAUUAAUUUUUUUUAAAAAAAAAUUAGAAGUUAUUCUAAUAUAUUUUUUAAAAAUUAAUAAUUUUUUUCAUAAUAUAAAAAUUAAGUAGUAAAUAUUUUUAAAUAAAAUAAUAGUAAAGGGAAUAUAUUAAUUAGACUACCUAAAAGGAAAAAGCUCACCUUCGCACAGUCACAAGCUUUGCCAAGUAAUAAGCACCACUCCACCAAACCGAAAGCUCAGAGAAAGAGAGAAAUGGGAAUCACUGCCAAGUCCAAGGCCAAGAGCAGCAACGAAAAUUGGGGCAUGGGAUUAUUCUUC